AGGGGUAUAUGUCUUCGGAUAUAGAGACCGGCGCACGGGUGCGUAACGCGUAUGCAAUCUACCUUUUACAGAGGGAUAGCCCAGAGAAAUUUGGAUUAAUACCUCAUAGUAUAGCUCUACCGCAUGGUAGUACUAUUAAAGUCACAACGGUAAAAGAUGAGCAUGCGUCCCAUUAGCUAGUUGGUAAGGUAACGGCUUACCAAGGCAACGAUGGGUAGGGGUCCUGAGAGGGAGAUCCCCCACACUGGUACUGAGACACGGACCAGACUCCUACGGGAGGCAGCAGUGAGGAAUAUUGGACAAUGGGCGCAAGCCUGAUCCAGCCAUGCCGCGUGCAGGAUGACGGUCCUAUGGAUUGUAAACUGCUUUUGUACGAGAAGAAACACUGCUUCGUGAAGCAGCUUGACGGUAUCGUAAGAAUAAGGAUCGGCUAACUCCGUGCCAGCAGCCGCGGUAAUACGGAGGAUCCAAGCGUUAUCCGGAAUCAUUGGGUUUAAAGGGUCCGUAGGCGGUUUAGUAAGUCAGUGGUGAAAGCCCAUCGCUCAACGGUGGAACGGCCAUUGAUACUGCUGAACUUGAAUUAUUAGGAAGUAACUAGAAUAUGUAGUGUAGCGGUGAAAUGCUUAGAGAUUACAUGGAAUACCAAUUGCGAAGGGCAGGUUACUACUAAUUGAUUGACGCUGAUGG
rnacentral:rRNA from 1 species